UAAUUGCAGAGUACAACAUCAGAAGACUGUCAAAAAGGAUAAUUAUCAUUAAGGAAAAUGAACAAUGGUCUGCACUUAUCAAUACAAUGAAAUUCAGAAAAUGCACUAUGCCCUUAACCAACUACAAAAUAAAAAGUGGUUAAGGGCGGGCUAAAAUGUCUUGUUCUGAUCUUUUUGUCAGCACAGUGUAGCUUUGCCUUUUCAUGCAUUUCCUCCUUUCCCCUUCCUUCUGUAAUGUGAUUCGUGUAUGUGAAAAUGCUGUACAGUUUAUUCCACCGGUUAAGUCACCAGUGGACUGAAUUUGCCAUCAUAGGUUCAUGUGAGGGAUGCAUUUACUCUGACUGGUUUUACACGACUUACACCUCUUCGCAUAAACUCAAAUGCCAACAUAAACAAACCAAAAAAGAACAACAAGAACAUCUGUAGCCUUCCUAUAAUGUCGGCCAUGACAGAUGAUCUACUUCCUUCUGGAGAACUUUUUCUAGUAAGUGGAGUUAUAUUCCAUCCUGACAGAGACAAUCAACUAUUAAAGCAAUGCACCUUAACCAAUAAACUUAGGAAACAUUACAGGACUUUGUGAUAUAUGGAAGUUUAUGUAUCCUACAGAGACAUUAUUCCUCUAUAUCUUGUUCCUCCAAAUAGUCUUAGUUUCAUGCUGCUGCUUUCUACAAAAAAUAGGAACCAGUUAUUAAUACUUACCAGAGCUUUUCUUGGGCAAAUUUGUCCAGUCAUACGGGCUAAUCUUACUUGUGGAUGCCUUGAUCAACUCAAGAAGAGCGUCAUUGACCUAGAAUAUUUAAUAAUUGUCAUAUACUUCUUCCAUUAACAAUCAACACACAUAAGACUACAGCCACACAAAUCAUUUGAAGCCACAAAGAGUACUAAAACUUUGAGAAUCUCAUAACAUAUUAUGCAUUUUGAAUUCCCUAUUCAUAACUACCAAAAAGUUGAUUUGGCCUAUUUGUGACCACCAAGAAGAGUAACCCCUCCCCAGGUUCUUAGGAUGCUUUUCUUGACCUCCACCCUUAGUACGUUAUAUUUUUUUUUUUUGUUUUUGGUAACUAAGCAGAAUGGAUUUUUUUUCUUACUGGAUGAUUCUGUAUUUGCAUAAUAAAGACAUAAAAACAUACCUCUUCUGUCCUUUCAUGACUAACAAGAUGUCCUCCAGGAAGCUCUACCAUUCUAGCAUAAGGAUGUAACUUCUUCGCAAGCCUCUUUGCAUGGCUUAACUGAGCAAUGACAUCAUGCCUACACAGAAGAAAAUGUUGAUUUAUAUCUAAAUAUAAUGUAUCUGGCAAUUUGAGAUUGGAUCUCGUGGAUAAUGCAUUUACCUGCCAUGAAUUACAGAUAUUAGGAAUCCAGCAGAGCAGAUAGAUUCAAGAUCAGCCCGUGAUAUCUUAUGAGUCCAACAAGCAUUUAUCUGUCCAUCAAAUCCACAAUUUGACUGCAUCCCGGAUGCUGAUAUGCCUUUCACGUAUUCCUGGCACAGCCCAAAAAUAAGAGGGGGAAAAACACGUAAGCACCUUAAGUCUUGUUUAUUGUAGAUUACAUUUCAAUGGUUGAAAAAAAAAAAAAAAGAUGGCCUAAGAAACAUCUAGGUCACUCACUUGAUAUAAUAUUGCUCUUCGGGUCGUAGUUCCCACAUCUUCCUCGAGGUAUUCCUGCAAAGCACAAAUCACAAAUAUGUUAAGUCAUAUAUCACUCCCUAGUCGUGAUAAAUAUUAUCACUGAUUAGAAUUUAGAUCUUUUUUUUAGAAAUAAUAGAAUUUAUAUCAAGUGAUGAUAAACCAACUAAUCAGCAAUUGUACGAAAAGUAAGCACAUAAAACCAUCUAGAUACAUUUUAUGUUGUACAACAAUAGAUGACAUGCAUAUGAAACUUUGCAGUACAGGGGAACUAGGGAAGUGAAGCCUCAUAAUUUUCAACAUUAUUAAAUGAACAAUUAAUCAACCUUUGAAUAAUGGGUGUCUAAAUCAACAGCAGCCCUCUGUUCAGGAGUCUUUGCCUUCAAAAACCGGACAGCAAUUGAUAGAGUUUGACGAUCGAGCUGCAGGAAAAAAGACCACAUGAGUACUAGAAUCAACAAAAAAAACUCUUCAUUCCGUACAAGAAUAUAAUGAGAAACAGACAGAGGAAGCAUUGUGUUUGAGGUAUAACAUUAAUUUGGUUAGCAUCUUUUGAUACAAUUAGCACUCAUCAAAAUUACAGGAUCUUAUUCAUAACUAGCAUGUAUCUGUUCAAAAAAAAUUGUGCAUCUGACAUGAUGUUGCCAGUUACUAUUUUUUUUAAUCAAGUCAAGUAAUAUAAUUUUAUUGAUAAUGGAAAAGCAUUAGUACGAAACCAUCAAUCAAUUAUGUCUUAGUUCCAAAAAAGCUAGGAUCAAUUUAUAAAUAUCUUAAAUUAAAAGAAAUUCAAAUGACUCAGACAUUCAUGGCCAAUUUAACCUGAUAUUUUAUUUGAGCUGUGGAAGUAACCACUAAUGCUUGCAUUAGGGUAUGCUGUCUACAUCACAUCCUUUGGGGGUGCAGCCCUUCCCCUUCCCCUGUGCUAAUGCGGAAUGUUUUGUGCACCAGACUGCCCUUCUUUUCUUUUCCUAUUUCAUCAAUUGGGGUGCAGUUGAGUUGUAUAAAUGUUUAGGCUACACCACUGCUAAACUAAGAUAUAGUGACCACAUUAAUCAUUUUCAUUGUUGUCCCUUCAAUCUUCCAAUUUUCACUCUUCAAUGGGUGCAUUACUCAACCUUUUAUAGAUACCCACCAAACUAGGUACUUUUUUUUCUCAAUUUAUUUUUCCCAUAAGAGCUAUUAAACACACUGUUUUUCACCCUCACUCCUUUGAAAAAGUACUGUUUUCUCUUCUUAUACCACAUGAAUCAUCUCAACAGACUCAUCCCAGCCAUCUAUAACUCUUCGGAAUUGUUUCUGUGCUUCAGAGACAGCACAAUAUUAUUUAAUCACAUGCAUGAUGUUACUACCCAUCCCUUGAUCAGUAGUAUUCAUCUCCAUCAUACCUAAUUUCCUUCAGAUUUAUCAGUAGAUGAAUUUCUGACAACAUUCAGUGCUCAGGUCUUUGUUAAACAAAGUUGUCUUUCCAGAUAGUACAUUUUAACUAUGCAAACAUGACUUUUUUAUUAUUUGUCAGAUCAACUAUUUGGGUCUUGUAUGCUACCAAGUAGAAAAACAUUGUGGAAUUAGGAACAACUCCAUCAAAUGGUCAUACCGCCUAUUGAAGAAGCAGACUGGCCUAUAGCAUUUCACUGGAUUAAGAGGGGUCUCUCCUCACCCUCUGAGAAAAAUGCUGAGUACCUCCUGGCCUUUCCAGAGCAAAGGAGAAAAGGAUUACCUAAUCUACAAGUAUAAACUAUAGUUGUGAUAUGUGUUUAUCUCAUAUGUGAUAUGACAAUCUGAGCAUACAAACUUCCCCUUCCUUCCACAUGGAAUAUGCUACAACAGAAGAAUAAGAACAGUAUUCCCUCCUUUCUCAUACAGACAGACUGGAAUCUCUCUCUCCACACACACACACACAGAGUAGAGACACUCACAAAUGGACAAGAUGGGUACAUUCUUAAUAAUUAUGUACCACACCUUAUUUUUAUUUGGAUAACUCUGUAACUAAUAUCACCUUAUAAGCACCAAAUAAUUCUACCUUCUCCACUUAAAUAUUAGACUUUGGUCUGCUAAAGGUUCAACCCCGUAACGUGCGCCUAAUCUACACAUAGCAUGUUACACUUUUACCAUCAUACCAAAUCCCAGGGAGCUUGCAGUGUCCAAAUUCCACCUUGCUGCUUUCAUUACAUGACCACUGAUGCCACGCUGUGAACUUAAAAAAUGCUAGAAUGGCCUCAAUUAACGGAAUAUCUUCUAUUUUUUUACUUUCAGUAAGCUGAUUUUUGUAUAUCUUUCCUGGAAGGGGAAUGCAAUGCAAAGGAAAACCAAAACGGUCAUUCAAUUUUCAGAUAUAGCUGAACCAUUCACUAAAAUCUUUGAACAAUAUGUCCAAUGACCAAUAGUUGAAGAGAGGAUCUUACCC
rnacentral:lncRNA from 1 species